GACGAACGCUGGCGGCGUGCUUAACACAUGCAAGUCGAGCGGUAAGGCCCUUUCGGGGGUACACGAGCGGCGAACGGGUGAGUAACACGUGGGUGACCUGCCCUCAGCUCUGGGAUAAGCCUGGGAAACCGGGUCUAAUACCGGAUAUGACUCCAUGACGCAUGUUGUGGGGUGGAAAGCCUUGUGCGGCUGAGGAUGGGCCCGCGGCCUAUCAGCUUGUUGGUGGGGNGAUGGCCUACCAAGGCGACGACGGGUAGCCGGCCUGAGAGGGCGACGGCCACACUGGGACUGAGACACGGCCCAGACUCCUACGGGAGGCAGCAGUGGGGAAUCUUGCGCAAUGGGCGAAAGCCUGACGCAGCGACGCCGCGUGAGGGA
rnacentral:rRNA from 1 species